rnacentral:lncRNA from 1 species
AAUGGGUCAAGGACCUAGGAAAAAACCAGAGACCCUGCAUCUAAUAGAAGAAAAAGUAGGCCCUAAUCUUCAUCAUGUGGGAUUAGGCCCCAACUUCCUUAAUAAGACUCCUUUGGUGCAAGAAUUAAAAUCAAGAAUCAAUAAAUGGGAUGGAUUCAAACUAAAAAGUUUCUUCUCAGCAAAAGAAACAAUUUGUGAAGUGAAUAGAGAGCCUGCAUCUUGAGAGCAAAUCUUUACCCCUCACACAUCAGAUAGAGCACUAAUCUCUAGGGUAUAUAAAGAACUCAAAAAGCUAAGCACCAAGAAAACAAAUAACCCAAUCAGUACAUGGGCCAAGGCCCUGAACAGACACUUCUCAGAAGAUGAUAUACAAUCAGUCAACAAAUAUAUGAAAAAAUGUUCAUCAUUGCUAGCAAUUAGAGAAAUGCAAAUCAAAACUACUCUAAGAUGUCAUCUCACUCCAGUCAGAAUGGCAGCUAUUAUGAAUACAAACAACAGUAAGUGUUGGUGAGGAUGUGGGGCAAAGUGUGCACUCCUACACUGCUGAUGGAACUACAAAUUGCUGCCGCCGAUAUGGAAAGCAGUAUGGAGAUUGCUUGGAAAACUGGGUAUGGAACCACCAUUUGACCCAAUCCCUCUUCUCAAUCUAUACCCAAAGGACUUAAAAACAGCAUACUACAGGGACACAGCCACAUCAAUGUUUAUUGCAGUAUAAUUCACAAUAGCUAAACUAUGGAACCAACCCAGAUGCCCUUCAGUAGAUGCAUGGAUAAAAAAAAAUGUGGCAUUUAUACACAAUGGAAUAUUACUCAGCUCUAAAAGAGAAUAAAAUCAUAGCAUUUGCAGGUAAAUGGAUGGAGUUGGAGGAGAUAAUGCUAAAAUGAAGUUAGCCAAUCCUGAACACCAAAUGCUGAAUGUUUUCUCUGAUAUAGGAGGCUGAUUCAUAGUGGGGAAGCGAGGGAGAGCAUGGGAGGAAUAGAUGAACUCUAGAUAGGGCAGAGGGGUGGGAGGGGAAAGGAGGGGGCAGGGGGUUAGAAAUGGUGGUGUAAUGUGAUAGUCAUCAUUAUCCAAAGUACAUGUAUGGAGACACGAAUUGGUGUGAAUAUACUUUGUAUAAACCAAAGAUAUGAAAAAAAUGUGCUCUAUAUGUGUAAUAUGAGUUGUAAUGCAUUUCGCUAUCAUGUAAAUUUAAAAAUUUAUUCAAAAAUAUAUAUGUG